UUCACCACUAGCUUUGCUUAAAUAGCCUUCAUUGAGUGCCCUGAGCCCCCAGGUGGCAGUUGAAAUCCUCAGAAAACACUGCAUUUUAUUGUGGUGGUGUCGCACCAGAGAGGGCAGCUGGAAGCACUUUGUCAGUGGAAAUUCAAGAAAGAGAAUCCAUGACUUUUCAAGGCUUACGUUGAACACAAUGUCAAAUAGAGGUCUGACCUCUCGCCACUGUUGCUAGCCCAGGAUCCUGCCCGAUAUCUUGCUGGGUUCCCUGACUCUGCCCAUAUCUCUGUACAUAACGUCCUCAUGAAACUCUCCACGGAUGACCCUGUUUGGCUGCGCCAUCUGUCUCUUGCCUGACACCUGACCGACUCCUGUCCAGCAUGGUGCUUAAUACACAGCAAGACACUCAAUAAAGGCUUUUAAAAAUCAGUGAGAAA
rnacentral:lncRNA from 1 species